rnacentral:rRNA from 1 species
AUUGAACGCUGGCGGCAUGCCUUACACAUGCAAGUCGAACGGUAACAGGUCUUCGGAUGCUGACGAGUGGCGAACGGGUGAGUAAUACACCGGAACGUGCCCGAGAGUGGGGGAUAACGAGGCGAAAGCUUUGCUAAUACCGCAUACGAUCUCAGGAUGAAAGCAGGGGACAGCAAGGCCUUGCGCUCACGGAGCGGCCGAUGGCAGAUUAGGUAGUUGGUGGGAUAAAAGCUUACCAAGCCGACGAUCUGUAGCUGGUCUGAGAGGACGACCAGCCACACUGGGACUGAGACACGGCCCAGACUCCUACGGGAGGCAGCAGUGGGGAAUUUUGGACAAUGGGCGCAGGCCUGAUCCAGCCAUGCCGCGUGCAGGAUGAAGGCCUUCGGGUUGUAAACUGCUUUUGUACGGAACGAAAAGACUCCUUCUAAUAAAGGGGGUCCAUGACGGUACCGUAAGAAUAAGCACCGGCUAACUACGUGCCAGCCGCCGCAGUAAUAC